GAAAGGUGGCGGAGACAGCGGCGGCGACGAUGAGAAGGAGAGAAAGAAGGGAAAUAAGGAAAAGGCGUGUUCUCCUUGGGUUGGGAGGGGUAAAUGAAAGGGGUUGGUCGGGGAGUUGGAAGGCAGCGGCGGAGGAAGAAGUGCCGCCGGGGUCGGUUUUGUGGAGCCUGCCGUAGCCCAUUUUGGGAAAGGAAAGAGAAAGGGUAAAGAUGGAGAUGGGAUUUGGGUUUGGUUUGAGUUAAAUAUAGAUGGAAUCAGAAGGAAAGUGGUGGGUGAGGUUGUGAGAGUGAGAGAUGAAUUUGUGGAAGGAAGAAGAAAUAGGUGGCUGCUACUUCAUUC
rnacentral:misc_RNA from 1 species